rnacentral:rRNA from 1 species
GACGAACGCUGGCGGCGUGCUUAACACAUGCAAGUCGAACGGUAAGGCCCUUCGGGGUACACGAGUGGCGAACGGGUGAGUAACACGUGGGUGAUCUGCCCUGCACUUCGGGAUAAGCCUGGGAAACUGGGUCUCAUACCGGAUAGGCCCAUGCGCUUCACGGUGUGUGGUGGAAAGCUUUUGCGGUGUGGGAUGGGCCCGCGGCCUAUCAGCUUGUUGGUGGGGUAAUGGCCUACCAAGGCGACGACGGGUAGCCGGCCUGAGAGGGUGGCCGGCCACACUGGGACUGAGAUACGGCCCAGACUCCUACGGGAGGCAGCAGUGGGGAAUAUUGCACAAUGGGCGCAAGCCUGAUGCAGCGACGCCGCGUGAGGGAUGACGGCCUUCGGGUUGUAAACCUCUUCCAGUAGGGACGAAGCGCAAGUGACGGUACCUACAGAAGAAGGACCGGCCAACUACGUGCCAGCCGCCGCUGUAA